rnacentral:sRNA from 1 species
CGAACUGUUGGACAGCGUCUGGAGUUUUGCACAAAAGAGAAUUGAAUUGUAGAUCAGCUGGGAAGUUACUGUGGUAGUCCUGGUGCCCUGCGGCCUCCAGCGACUGGAACCCUGUGGGAGCACAUAGCUGGCAUUUUUUGCUAGAGAUUAGGAAGUCUUUUGCUUCCUCUGUGAAAAGGCUUGAAUUCAAUGGACUGUGUGGACUUCAACUAACCAACUAAAGAACUGUUCCCCAGAGCAUUGUUCCUGAGAAGGAAAAGAGUCCAAACACCCACCCACACCUGCUUUGUGCCAAGAAUCCACAGUUGGAUUGCAAGGACAGUGCGUUCAAGACCCAGCUGUUGAGAGUAGAAAAGCAGAAGAAAGGACCCGAGGUCAGCAAGUGCCCUCCCUACAAUGGGGCAGGUCUGCCAGGGAGAAUCGGCUACAGCAGCUGAAAAACCAAAACUUCAUCUACUUACUGAAAGUGAGCACACAGCUUACUAUCUCUUUAAAGUGGCAACAGAGUGGAUCUGAGAUGGGUUGCUUCAUGCGAAGGUGGUGAGGUGUACACUUUAUGAAUCAGCUUGGGAGAAAAGCACAGAAACUCUCGA